UGCAGUCGAGCGGACAGAAGGGAGCUUGCUCCCUGAUGUUAGCGGCGGACGGGUGAGUAACACGUGGGUAACCUGCCUGUAAGACUGGGAUAACUCCGGGAAACCGGAGCUAAUACCGGAUGCUUCCUUGAACCGCAUGGUUCAAACAUAAAAGAUGGUUUCGGCUAUCACUUACAGAUGGACCCGCGGCGCAUUAGCUAGUUGGUGAGGUAAUGGCUCACCAAGGCGACGAUGCGUAGCCGACCUGAGAGGGUGAUCGGCCACACUGGGACUGAGACACGGCCCAGACUCCUACGGGAGGCAGCAGUAGGGAAUCUUCCGCAAUGGACGAAAGUCUGACGGAGCAACGCCGCGUGAGUGAUGAAGGUUUUCGGAUCGUAAAGCUCUGUUGUUAGGGAAGAACAAGUGCAAGAGUAACUGCUUGCACCUUGACGGUACCUAACCAGAAAGCCACGGCUAACUACGUGCCAGCAGCCGCGGUAAUACGUAGGUGGCAAGCGUUGUCCGGAAUUAUUGGGCGUAAAGGGCUCGCAAGCGGUUUCUUAAGUCUGAUGUGAAAGCCCCCGGCUCAACCGGGGAGGGUCAUUGGAAACUGGGAAACUUGAGUGCAGAAGAGGAGAGUGGAAUUCCACGUGUAGCGGUGAAAUGCGUAGAGAUGUGGAGGAACACCAGUGGCGAAAGCGACUCUCUGGUCUGUAACUGACGCUGAGGAGCGAAAGCGUGGGGAGCGAACAGGAUUAAUACCCUGGUAGUCCACGCCGUAACGAUGAGUGCUAAGUGUUAAGGGGUUUCCGCCCCUU
rnacentral:rRNA from 1 species